rnacentral:rRNA from 1 species
GAUCAUGGCUCAGGAUGAACGCUAGCUACAGGCUUAACACAUGCAAGUCGAGGGGCAGCAUUGGGAUAGCUUGCUAUUCAGAUGGCGACCGGCGCACGGGUGAGUAACGCGUAUCCAACCUUCCUGCCAGUAGGGAACAGCCCGGCGAAAGUCGGAUUAAUGCCCUAUGUUCUUCAAUGCGGACAUCUAAGUUGAAGGAAAGAUUCAUCGCUGGCAGAUGGGGAUGCGUCCGAUUAGCUUGCCGGCGGGGUAACGGCCCACCGGGGCGACGAUCGGUAGGGGUUCUGAGAGGAAGGUCCCCCACACUGGUACUGAGACACGGACCAGACUCCUACGGGAGGCAGCAGUGAGGAAUAUUGGUCAAUGGGCGUAAGCCUGAACCAGCCAAGUAGCGUGCAGGAUGACGGCCCUACGGGUUGUAAACUGCUUUUAUGCGGGGAUAAAGUGCGGCACGUGUGCCGCUUUGCAGGUACCGCAUGAAUAAGGACCGGCUAAUUCCGUGCCAGCCGCCGC